CCAUAUGAUGAAUAUCAAGAUAGGGACAACUGAUGCUUUUGCAAAUGAGGUUGACUUGGAGACUAUUUUAGUAGAUGUGUCUCUUAUCUGAAA
rnacentral:snoRNA from 1 species